rnacentral:rRNA from 1 species
CCAAGACCGCUUACUCACUGAAGCUAAGCAAGCUAAGCAGGGCUUAGCCUGGUCAGUACCUGGAUGGUAGACCACAUGGGAAAACUAGGUUGCUCUUGGA